rnacentral:rRNA from 1 species
UGGGGAAUUUUGGACAAUGGGCGAAAGCCUGAUCCAGCAAUGCCGCGUGUGUGAAGAAGGCCUUCGGGUUGUAAAGCACUUUUGUCCGGAAAGAAAUCCUUGGCUCUAAUACAGUCGGGGGAUGACGGUACUGGAAGAAUAAGCACCGGCUAACUACGUGCCAGCAGCCGCGGUAAUACGUAGGGUGCAAGCGUUAAUCGGAAUUACUGGGCGUAAAGCGUGCGCAGGCGGUUUGCUAAGACCGAUGUGAAAUCCCCGGGCUCAACCUGGGAACUGCAUUGGUGACUGGCAGGCUAGAGUAUGGCAGAGGGGGGUAGAAUUCCACGUGUAGCAGUGAAAUGCGUAGAGAUGUGGAGGAAUACCGAUGGCGAAGGCAGCCCCCUGGGGCCAAAUACUGACGCUCAUGCACGAAAGCGUGGGGAGCAAACAGGAUUAGAUACCCUGGUAGUCCACGCCCUAAACGAUGUCAACUAGUUGUUGGGGAUUCAUUUCCUUGGUAACGUAGCUAACGCGUGAAGUUGACCGCCU